rnacentral:lncRNA from 1 species
UAAAGCAAUUUUAUCUCAAUCUUUUCUCCACUGAAGGUUUUUUUCCCCUCUUCAUUAAUGGAUACCAUAAAAGAACAAUUUCAUAAUCCCUAAACUUCUGAUUUCAAAAACUUGAUAGAAUUUUGCAAGUUGUAUUUCCCGUAUUUUCUAAUUUUGUAAAUUUCCUAUUGCUAUCAAUUUUGUUAUUCUGUCAACCCCUGCCCUGAAAAGCAUUCCACAAUCUUCAGCAUGGCUUACUUCUAGCUAUACUCUAAAGUUCUAGUGUUUAAAAUGUAACUAAAAACUAAGUCAGAGUUCUUAUUUUCAAGUAAAGGCAUCUAAAUGACUUUAAGUAAUAAAAUCUAUCAAAAUAUUUCACAAGUCUAAAACACAGCUGAGAAGGAAUAGCUAUUUUUUCAGCUAUUAG